UAAGUUAAUUGAUUAAUUAAUGGGUUAUACAAACUCUAAAGGAUUCAUUAGAUUGCAAUGCAACGAAGAAAUAAGGCGAAUGUAGGAAAUGAUGGAAAACCAAAUUAAAA